AUGGAGUCGGAUCAGGGCAAGCUCUUCAUCGGCGGCAUCUCCUGGGAGACGACGGAGGAGAAGCUGCAGGAGCACUUCUCCAACUUCGGCGAGGUCUCCCAGGCCGCCGUCAUGCGCGACAAGCUCACCGGCCGCCCGCGGGGCUUCGGCUUCGUAGUCUACGCCGACCCCGCCGCUGUCGACGCCGCCCUCCAAGAGCCCCACACACUCGACGGCCGCACGGUUGAUGUGAAGCGGGCGCUCUCGCGGGAGGAGCAGCAGGCUACCAAGGCGGUGAACCCUAGCGCAGGAAGGAACGCUGGAGGUGGAGGGGGUGGUGGCGGAGGCGAUGCCGGUGGUGCUAGGACAAAGAAGAUCUUUGUGGGCGGGCUGCCCUCCAGUCUGACAGAUGAGGAGUUCCGGCAGUACUUCCAGACCUUCGGGGCUGUCACCGAUGUUGUGGUGAUGUAUGACCAGACAACACAGCGCCCCCGGGGCUUCGGCUUCAUUACCUUUGACUCGGAGGAUGCGGUUGACCGUGUGCUGCACAAAACCUUCCACGAUCUUGGAGGGAAGAUGGUAGAGGUGAAGCGUGCUCUGCCUCGAGAGGCGAAUCCUGGCUCUGGCGGCGGCGGCCGUUCCAUGGGAGGUGGGGGUUUUCAUAGUAACAAUGGACCUAACUCCAAUGCUAGCAGCUAUGAUGGCAGAGGCGAUGCUAGCAGAUAUGGGCAGGCGCAGCAAGGCAGUGGUGGCUACCCAGGUUAUGGCGCUGGAGCUUAUGGCAGUGCUCCAACUGGAUAUGGAUAUGGGCACACCAAUCCUGGAACUACAUAUGGAAAUUAUGGGUCUGCAGGGUAUGGAGGUGUUCCUGCUGCGUAUGCUGGGGCUUAUGGCAAUCCAAGUGCUGCUGCAUCUGGUUACCAGGGUGGCCCUCCAGGCGCUAAUAGAGGACCCUGGGGCAGUCAAGCUCCAUCUGGUUAUGGCACUGGGGGUUAUGCUGGCAAUGCAGGCUAUGGUGCAUGGAAUAGCUCUUCUGCUGGUGGGAAUGCACCCACUAGUCAGGCACCUGGUGCAGCUGCAGGUUAUGGAAACCAGGGCUAUGGUUAUGGUGGAUAUGGAGGAGAUGCAUCAUAUGGUAAUCAUGGAGGGUAUGGUGCUUAUGGUGGUCGGGGAGAUGGUGCUGGAAAUCCUGCUACUGGUGCAGCCUCUGGGUAUGGUGCUGCUGGAUAUGGAAGUGGGAAUGGAAACUCUGGAUAUCCAAAUGCGUGGACUGAUCCUUCACAAGGCGGAGGAUUUGGUGGUGCAGUCAAUGGAGCUUCUGAGGGCCAAUCAAAUUAUGGCAGCGGUUAUGGUGGUAUGCAGCCUAGGGUUGCUCAGUAG
rnacentral:rRNA from 1 species